UGUCCUGAGUGCCAGCGUCCAAGCCCCGGCUUGCUGGCCGGCAACCCUCCUCACGCAGCGGGGUGCCCCGGGUGACGACAGGGCCGCGGCGACCAGCCGAUGGCAAGUGCAGACC
rnacentral:ncRNA from 1 species